AAAGUCCUACGGGAGGCAGCAGUGAGGAAUAUUGGUCAAUGGACGAGAGUCUGAACCAGCCACGUAGCGUGAAGGAUGACUGCCCUAUGGGUUGUAAACUUCUUUUAUAUGGGAAUAAAAUGUUCCACGUGUGGGAUUUUGUAUGUACCAUAUGAAUAAGGAUCGGCUAACUCCGUGCCAGCAGCCGCGGUAAUACGGAGGAUCCGAGCGUUAUCCGGAUUUAUUGGGUUUAAAGGGUGCGCAGGCGGUCUGUUAAGUCAGCGGUCAAAGCCCGGGGCUCAACCCCGGCCCGCCGUUGAAACUGG
rnacentral:rRNA from 1 species